rfam:Orientia tsutsugamushi Boryong complete genome
UUGAGCCGUAUGCGGAGUAAUUCGCUUGUACGAUUCUUUGGGAGGAAAAGCGCUCCUGCGCUUACCUACCCGCU